UACGGAGGGGGCUAGCGUUGUUCGGAAUUACUGGGCGUAAAGCGCACGUAGGCGGCUUGGUAAGUUAGAGGUGAAAGCCCGGGGCUCAACUCCGGAAUUGCCUUUAAGACUGCAUCGCUAGAAUUGUGGAGAGGUGAGUGGAAUUCCGAGUGUAGAGGUGAAAUUCGUAGAUAUUCGGAAGAACACCAGUGGCGAAGGCGACUCACUGGACACGUAUUGACGCUGAGGUGCGAAAGCGUGGGGAGCAAACAGG
rnacentral:rRNA from 1 species